GAUGAAGAACGCAUCGAAAUGCGAUAAGUAAUGUGAAUUGCAGAAUUCAGUGAAUCAUCGAAUCUUUGAACGCACAUUGCGCCCGGCAGUACUCUGCCGGGCAUGCCUGUUCGAGCGUCAUUUCAACCCUCAAGCCCUGCUUGGUGUUGGGGCCCCACGGCUGCCGUGGGCCCUGAAAGGAAGUGGCGGGCUCGCUACAACUCCGAGCGUAGUAAUUCAUUAUCUCGCUUAGGGCGUUGGGCGGCGCUCCAGCCGUUAAAGAACCAUCUUUAACUCAAGGUUGACCUCGGAUCAGGUAGGAAUACCCGCUGAACUUAAGCAUAUCAAUAAGCGGAGGA
rnacentral:misc_RNA from 1 species